UGUUCACUUUGGCAACACAUACACAAAGCUGGAACUAUACAGAGAAGAUUACCAUGGCCCCUAGACAAAGAUGACAUGCAAAUUCAUGAAGCGUUUCAUGUAAAA